UUUGGGGCGGAGGACCGGGAGGACUGCGCCCAGGAGGGUGGCCGGCCACAGGAGGAGGGCUUGGGUUCGAGCUGCUGCAGCUGGGUGGCCGGCGCCGCGGCGACCCCUCCCCCGCUCUCCCUGGCCGCCGCCCCCUCCUCCUCCCGCCGUCCUCCUCCUCCUCUUCCUCCUCCCUGUCCCCCAUCCUCCUCCCGGCCCCCGGCAGCUGCGGCUCAGGGAGCAGCCGGCGGCGGCGCCGCGGCCGCGCAGCCUUUGUCUCGGGCCGCCGGGCGCGCGGGGCCCAGCGCAGGCGUACUUUAUUGCAUUUGACAGGAAGAAUUAGAGCACAAUAUUUUGUUUUGCUGUCAUCAGGGAAAACCUAUGGUAAAUGAGAAGAAACUGAUGCAGAUACUACUCUUGUAGCUAUCCCUGUUUACUGAAAACAUUGCCUUUUAUAAGAACAAAAACUGCUCUAGGGUCUUUUGUGAGAGCUUCUUUCUUUAUGUCAUAGAAGUCUUCAUACAGCCUGGUGCUUGAAAUUUUAUUUGGAAGAUGACAAAUCAUUGUAUAUUUUUGGAGACAAAAGGCUUUGUAAUCGCUCUUCAAACCAGGUCACAACACGACAGCAUCUUCAUCUCACAGAAACAUCGUCUCUGCUUCAGCAGGUUUUGUCUAACACAGUUUGCUUGCCAUGCAGAAAACUUUCUAGUUUUCUAGAAACUGCCUUAUGCAGUUUCCCAGAGACAACAUGGUGGGUGAGAAAGAAUAUUGAACAUGAGAGAGGAAACUUUACUUUUGUUUGGACUCCACUUCUAUCUAAGCAUUGGACAUUUGCAGGUCAUUUAAUCUCUCUGAAUCUCACUUUCCUCUUUUGUAGAAUGGGU
rnacentral:lncRNA from 1 species